AGGGGUCAAACCACAAAGUGUGUCCUGGGGGAGAGUGCUGCCCGCCAGAGGUGUUGGUGUCGGGGUAAAGCCCGGAGGUCAGUUUCAUGUUGAACAAUUUCACAGGAUCAAACUUUUCCUGAUUUUUUAGUUGUGAAUAAGCUCGUUUGCUUUUGCUAAUUUCCCAGUGGCAGGGGCACUGGGAGCACUGGGGAGCCGAUAUGGCAACAAAGGGAUGAAGACUGGACUUGGACGUUAUGGAGCCCAGCUUGGUAAUGGAGGUUACAGAGCUCUCGGACUGGGAGGUAGAACAGGGGGAUACGGGACCCCGGGAGGCUACGGUACCUCCUUAAAGUCACUCUUUACAUUAACUCCUCACCUUCUGCCGUCUUUAAACACCUUCUGCAUCUGCUGCUCUGCAGGCGGCGGCAUGGGUGCAGGACUGGGCGCCGGGGGCGGCCUCCCCAACGGACUGACCCUCGGGUUGGGUCAGGGGGGAAAACGUGGUUAUGGUGCUGGUAACCUGCCAGGUUAUGGAACCACAGCUGGUUUUGCUCAUCCAGUGCCUCGACACGGUUUCGCAGGCGGAGCCGGAAACUAUCUGGGAACCAGCCUGGGCCCUGGUGGCUACGGAGCAGGUACGGAAGAUAAGCUCUUCCUCACAGAUGCAGAGUCAGGCCUGCUGCUUUUAAACAUGUGCUCGUGCAGGUUUGGGACAGGGAGCGUAUCCUGGUGGAGCCGCCGGCAAACUCGGCGCUGCCCUCGGACAGAGCGCUUACCCCCAGGGCGGGUAUCCCCAGGGCAAUUACCCCCAAGGUGGGUACCCACAGGGUGGUAAUCCCCAGGGCAAUUACCCCCAAGGUGGGUACCCACAGGGUGGUAAUCCCCAGGGUGCUGCAGGGAUGACAAACGGUGGGUCUAUGGAUUCAGUCAUUUUGGCUCAUGUCUGAGGUCUUCAGUGAUCCCUGCGUAGUCCUGCUGAUGAUCUAU
rnacentral:lncRNA from 1 species